AUUGAACGCUGGCGGCAGGCCUAACACAUGCAAGUCGGACGGUAGCACAGAGGAGCUUGCUCCUUGGGUGACGAGUGGCGGACGGGUGAGUAAUGUCUGGGAUCUGCCCGAUAGAGGGGGAUAACCACUGGAAACGGUGGCUAAUACCGCAUAACGUCGCAAGACCAAAGAGGGGGACCUUCGGGCCUCUCACUAUCGGAUGAACCCAGAUGGGAUUAGCUAGUAGGCGGGGUAAUGGCCCACCUAGGCGACGAUCCCUAGCUGGUCUGAGAGGAUGACCAGCCAAACUGGAACUGAGACACGGUCCAGACUCCUACGGGAGGCAGCAGUGGGGAAUAUUGCACAAUGGGCGCAAGCCUGAUGCAGCCAUGCCGCGUGUAUGAAGAAGGCCUUCGGGUUGUAAAGUACUUUCAGCGGGGAGGAAGGCGGCACGGUUAAUAACCGUGCCGAUUGACGUUACCCGCAGAAGAAGCACCGGCUAACUCCGUGCCAGCCGCCGCGGUAA
rnacentral:rRNA from 1 species